rnacentral:lncRNA from 1 species
AUAGCAAUGACUGAAUAAAAACCACCUCAAUUCUCAGACAUUUACUGAGUUGCCAGUUUCUACACAGAAUCCUGUAGGAGGCUAAACAGAGAAGUUCAAAGGGUCAGUCAGGAAGGUAUGACAAUAGUUAAAAGAGAGGGGCUACAGGUCAAGUCUAGAUCAGGUCCUUCCUUUGUUGCAAUGGCAUAGCUGCAAUCCUUACACCUGAAAGGUUACAACCCAAGUCUCAGAAAAUUUUGCAGAUGGCUUCACCAGCAGGCUGAGAAGACUACAUCCCCACCUUGGCUUCCUCCAGACAGCACUGGAACUCAAACUCCUUAUGUGGCAGCCCUACAGUUAGUGCAACACCAACUAGGGUAUUCUCUCAACCACAUGAUUUUACUGAAAACUCAACCAAGUGGAAUAUUUUCGGGUUUUUAGUUGUUAUUUUUUAUAUUAGCCAUCCGUUGUUUAACCACACGUGCAUGAUCAUACCACACUCUCUUGGCUUGGUUUUUGCUGCCAGUUAAAAUAAACUACCUACU